rnacentral:rRNA from 1 species
UACGAAGGGUGCAAACGUUGCUCGGAAUUACUGGGCGUAAAGCGCACGUAGGCGGAUCGAUCAGUCAGGGGUGAAAUCCCAGAGCUCAACUCUGGAACUGCCUUUGAUACUGUCGAUCUGGAGUAUGGAAGAGGUGAGUGGAAUUCCGAGUGUAGAGGUGAAAUUCGUAGAUAUUCGGAAGAACACCAGUGGCGAAGGCGACUCGCUGGACAGACAUUGACGCUGAGGUGCGAAAGCGUGGGGAGCAAACAGG